UGGGGAAUUUUGGACAAUGGGCGAAAGCCUGAUCCAGCAAUGCCGCGUGUGUGAAGAAGGCCUUCGGGUUGUAAAGCACUUUUGUCCGGAAAGAAAUCCUUGGCUCUAAUACAGUCGGGGGAUGACGGUACCGGAAGAAUAAGCACCGGCUAACUACGUGCCAGCAGCCGCGGUAAUACGUAGGGUGCAAGCGUUAAUCGGAAUUACUGGGCGUAAAGCGUGCGCAGGCGGUUUGCUAAGACCGAUGUGAAAUCCCCGGGCUCAACCUGGGAACUGCAUUGGUGACUGGCAGGCUAGAGUAUGGCAGAGGGGGGUAGAAUUCCACGUGUAGCAGUGAAAUGCGUAGAGAUGUGGAGGAAUACCGAUGGCGAAGGCAGCCCCCUGGGCCAAUACUGACGCUCAUGCACGAAAGCGUGGGGAGCAAAACAGGAUUAGAUACCCUGGUAGUCCACGCCCUAAACGAUGUCAACUAGUUGUUGGGGAUUCAUUUCCUUAGUAACGUAGCUAACGCGUGAAGUUGACCGCCUGGGGAGUACGGUCGCAAGAUUAAAACUUAAAGGAAUUGACGGGGU
rnacentral:rRNA from 1 species